CUUUACCUUUUCAUAUGAACUCUUCUCUAAAGCAGGUCACGGGGGAAAAAAAAAAGCUUUAAGGAGAAAUAAUUUCUCCGGGCAUAAACUGAGCUUAGCGGGCCUAUCAGCUGUUUCUCCUCACUCCACCACUGCUGCUGACUGGAGGAGCAGCCUGGAAAGCAGCCGCCCUCCCGCAAACAGCAGAAAGACGCAUCAUCCAUAAAAAAUGUGAAUGUGAGGACGGUGGGACCAUCCUGGCACACACUGAGCAGCAGGGACCUCCGAGCCCUCAGAUGUCAUCCAGCCAGGCUGACCAGAAUGGUGGUGAUAUGAAGAGUUGGGGAAUUCGACUUGAAUACAAAGCAUAAUACUGCUUUCACUUAAAAAGGUUGGUGAACCAUACUCCAACAGAAAGGGGAAAUAAGACUAGCUCUGCUGGAGUAAGGAAGCUGACUAAGGGAAGAACCAGAAGGCCGCCAAAAUGUGUUGAGAGCUUGGGAUAUUUUGAAACAAGUAGUACAUUUAAAAUGUAGACAUUCAUUCAAUGAGUAUUCUUUAACUCAACAUGGUAAAGGCUACAGAGAAAUGGGAAGGAAGUUCAGGUGAGGCUGAGAAGACCAAAGACAAUUGUGUGCCUUUAAAGGAAAUAACAACAAGAAUUAGGAGCACCCUGGAGGCAAGGUCUGCUGCUGGGGAAACCAAACCACAAUAACUUCAGAAAUAUAUACUUGGAAUAUGUCAUGUAUUAAUGGGUAAAGAUACCAUGGAUAUGAAGGAGAUCACCUAUGGGAGAAUACUAAGAAGAGAAGAAGGUAAAGAAUCUUCCUUGAGGAACAUCUACAUUUAAAGGGGCUGCUGGCUGUAGUGAAAUGUAUAAAAAAGAGAGUGUGAUCCUAGUUUCUGUCUCUAACUAUGAGUUACUUGUGAUUAACUUCAAAUAUUCUCUCCAUAAGAAGAGGCCCAGAAGAAGAAGAUGAGCUUCAGUUAUUCUAGCACAACUACUGUGAUAUUUGUAAAGAUUCAAAACCUAUAAUAAAAUGUAUAAAAGGAAA